rnacentral:rRNA from 1 species
CAAAGCUCACUCGCAACUUCUGAUUAAUACCACUAACUAAAGAGAACCCCACUUCAAUAUUAAGCAAUCCCAUAACCCUAUGGNAGGUUUUAUGUUAAAACUAGUAACAAGAAGAAGAACUUCUCAUUAGUGCAUGUGUAAAUCAGACAGUACAUUCCACUGAUCCCUAACACUAUUGAAUCUUAAUAGCAACUUUACAAGAAAACCCUAUUAUUUUAUAUGUUAAUCUAACACAAGAGCACUUCAAGAAAGAUUAAAAGAAAAAGAAGGAACUCGGCAAAUCUUAACCCCGCCUGUUUACCAAAAACAUCGCCUCUUGACAACUAUAAGAGGUCCAGCCUGCCCAGUGACUCUGUUCAACGGCCGCGGUAUC